rnacentral:rRNA from 1 species
GAUGAACGCUGGCGGCGUGCCUAAUACAUGCAAGUCGAGCGAACAGAUAAGGAGCUUGCUCCUUUGACGUUAGCGGCGGACGGGUGAGUAACACGUGGGUAACCUACCUAUAAGACUGGGAUAACUUCGGGAAACCGGAGCUAAUACCGGAUAAUAUUUCGAACCGCAUGGUUCGAUAGUGAAAGAUGGUUUUGCUAUCACUUAUAGAUGGACCCGCGCCGUAUUAGCUAGUUGGUAAGGUAACGGCUUACCAAGGCGACGAUACGUAGCCGACCUGAGAGGGUGAUCGGCCACAUUGGAAGUUAGACACGGUCCAGACUCCUACGGGAGGCAGCAGUAGGGAAUCGUCCGCAAUGGGCGAAAGCCUGACGGAGCAACGCCGCGUGAGUGAUGAAGGUCUUCGGAUCGUAAAACUCUGUUAUUAGGGAAGAACAUACGUGUAAGUAACUGUGCACGUCUUGACGGUACCUAAUCAGAAAGCCACGGCUAACUACGUG